rnacentral:rRNA from 1 species
UGCGUAACGCGUAUGCAACCUACCUUCAUCAGGGGGAUAGCCCGAAGAAAUUCGGAUUAACACCGCAUAACAUUAUUGGAUGGCAUCAUUUAAUAAUCAAAUAUUUAUAGGAUGAAGAUGGGCAUGCGUGUCAUUAGCUAGUUGGUGAGGUAACGGCUCACCAAGGCGACGAUGACUAGGGGAUCUGAGAGGAUGACCCCCCACACUGGUACUGAGACACGGACCAGACUCCUACGGGAGGCAGCAGUAAGGAAUAUUGGUCAAUGGAGGCAACUCUGAACCAGCCAUGCCGCGUGCAGGAAGACUGCCUUAUGGGUUGUAAACUGCUUUUAUACGGGAAUAAACCUUGAUUCGUGAAUCGAGCUGAAUGUACCGUAAGAAUAAGGAUCGGCUAACUCCGUGCCAGCAGCCGCGGUAAUACGGAGGAUCCAAGCGUUAUCCGGAUUUAUUGGGUUUAAAGGGAGCGUAGGCGGCCUAUUAAGUCAGGGGUGAAAGACGGUGGCUCAACCAUCGCAGUGCCUUUGAUACUGGUAGGCUUGAAUGUAGUUGGGGUAGGCGGAAUGUGACAAGUAGCGGUGAAAUGCAUAGAUAUGUCACAGAACACCGAUUGCGAAGGCAGCUUACUAAGCUAUGAUUGACGCUGA